AUUGAACGCUGGCGGUAUGCUUAACACAUGCAAGUCGAACGAUGAGAAAGAGCUUGCUCUUUCGAUUAGUGGCGGACGGGUGCGUAACGCGUAGGAAUCUACCUAUUAGUGGGGGACAACUUAGGGAAACUUACGCUAAUACCGCAUACGCCCUACGGGGGAAAGAAGGGGAUCGCAAGACCUUUUGCUAAUAGAUGAUCCUGCGUAGGAGUAGCUAGUUGGUGGGGUAAAAGCUCACCAAGGCGACGAUCCUUAACUGGUUUGAGAGAAUGAUCAGUCACACUGGAACUGAGACACGGUCCAGACUCCUACGGGAGGCAGCAGUGGGGAAUAUUGGACAAUGGGCGAAAGCCUGAUCCAGCAAUACCGCGUGUGUGAAGAAGGCCUUAGGGUUGUAAAGCACUUUCAAUUGGAAGGAAAACCUCGAAGCUAAUACCUUCGAGUUUGACAUUACCUUUAGAAGAAGCACCGGCUAACUCCGUGCCAGCCGCCGCGGUAA
rnacentral:rRNA from 1 species